rnacentral:tRNA from 1 species
AGGAGAGAGAGGGAUUCGAACCCUCGAUAGUUGAACUAUACCGGUUUUCAAGACCGGAGCCAUCAACCACUCGGCCAUCUCUCC